rnacentral:rRNA from 1 species
CAGUCGCCGCGGGAAUACAGAGGGUGCGAGCGUUAAUCGGAUUUACUGGGCGUAAAGCGUGCGUAGGCGGCUAAUUGAGUCGGAUGCGAAAUCCCCGAGCUUAACUUGGGAAUUGCAUUCGAUACUGGUUAGCUAGAGUGUGGGAGAGGAUGGUAGAAUUCCAGGUGUAGCGGUGAAAUGCGUAGAGAUCUGGAGGAAUACCGAUGGCGAAGGCAGCCAUCUGGCCUAACACUGACGCUGAGGUACGAAAGCAUGGGGAGCAAACAGGAUUAGAUACCCGUGUAGUCCCUGUCUCUUAUAC